UACGGAGGGGGCUAGCGUUGUUCGGAAUUACUGGGCGUAAAGCGCACGUAGGCGGCUUUGUAAGUUAGAGGUGAAAGCCCAGGGCUCAACCCUGGAAUUGCCUUUAAGACUGCAUCGCUUGAACAUCGGAGAGGUAAGUGGAAUUCCGAGUGUAGAGGUGAAAUUCGUAGAUAUUCGGAAGAAACACCAGUGGCGAAGGCGACUUACUGGAC
rnacentral:rRNA from 1 species